CCAUGCUCCUUGCUUUCUCAUUCCUAGCCGAUCCCAACCCCAGUUGGGGUGCGCUAGGUUUUGAGCUUUUGCCAAUUAGGUGGGCCCCAUGCUCCUUGCUUUCUCUUUCCUAGUCGAUCCCAACCUCAGUUGGGGUGCGCUUAGUUUUGAGCUUUUGCCAAACCGAUGGGCCCCAUGCUCCUUGCUUUCUCUUUCCUAGCCGAUCCCAACCCUAGUUGGGGUGCGCUUGGUUUUGAGCUUUUGCCAAUCCGGUGGGCCAUAUGCUCCUUGCUUUCUCUUUCCUAGCCGAUCCCAACCCUAGUUGGGGUGUGCUUGGUUUUGAGCUUUUGCCAAUCUGGUGGGUCCCAUGCUCAUUAGCUGUUCUUCCGAACCCGUGCGCCUUUAGUUUCUCAAUCGAUCCAAAGUGUUCACGACCUUUUAUUUAUUUUUUUCCUUUUUUCUUGCACUUCAGCUGUCCAUGCGGGCCCCAAUACCCCUUAGCUGUCCUUCCAGAGCUGUGCGUCUUUGGUCUCUCAACCGAUCCAAGGUGUCCAUGACCUUUUUUUUUUUUUUUUUUUCUCGGACCUCUUGGACUCGACAAUUUCUCCUUUUCGUUCUCACCGACUCCCAAGCAGUCCACAUCUAGUCUGUGCAUGAGGAACAAGCCUAGCUUCAUAGGUGUACUCACUACUUUGCGCCACUUAUUGCUUACAUCUGUUGCUCUUCUUUGCCUUUUGUCGAAGUGUGUGCAGUUUUCUAUCAGAGAAGCGCAUGCGUUGGGUAGAAAUAAUUUCGACUGGUUAUAUCAGACCAGGCUUUGUUGCCAGAGCCUAAGGAAAAUAUCUGAGCCGGCCACAUCAAACCUUAUCUUUGCUUUUGAAAAACUUCUUCCGUGACUUCUGUGAACUAUUUUCCCAAUCUUCGCCCCCUGUUAUAAAAGGUCGGUCGAUAGGGAUACAUUCAUUCGUAAAACCAUUUAUACUUUUCCUUUGUUCUUCAUAUAUAAGCUCUGGGUGCAAAGGGAGAGGAAAGUGUUCUGUGUGUUUGAGAAUUUCGCCAAAGGGCUUUUAUUAUAUAUUAGUUUAGUGAAUUUUGGAUCUUAUCAAUGACACGCCAUCUCAUGUACCCAUUUUGAAUAUUGAUAUUGGAAUUGAUGGAUACUUGGAUACUGAUAUUGGAAUUGAUGAAUUCUUGGAAACUGUGGAUAUAGUUUGGAUAUGUCAAAACCUGGGCAUCUUUGAUGGGGUGUUUCGUAGACCUUUAGAGGGGUUAGUUUGCCCGCGUAAGACCUGCCACAGGCGUAUGAGUAUUGAGGAUUCUGAUGUACGUGCUGGUGAGCCCAGUCCCCCAGUUGGAAGACUCGUCUCUAGCCACAUGCUUGUUGAGGAUUCCUCCGUGUAGUUCAGCUAAACGAUUCCCGUGUGGGAUUGAUUUUCCCGGUGCAUGAUGUGCACUAUCAUAUGUACCUCCCUUUGGAUACUAGUAAUACUUGGAGACAGUGGACAUGGGUACUUGGAUACAUAGAAAUGGAUAGCUGUGUAGUCUGCGCGUAUAGGAUUUGUCACAGGCGCACGAGUAUUGAGGAUUCUGCUGUGCGUGUUGGUUAGCCUAGUCCCCCAGAUGGACGGCUCGUCCCGGGCCACAUGGUUGUUGAGGAUUCCUCCAUGUGGUCUAGUCAAGCGAUCCUCGGAUUGGAUUCUCUUCCCCUGAUGCAUGAUGAUGGUUUAAGGUAAAUUUAUUGAUAUAUAUAUAUGUAAAUAUACAUACAUAUUAAAUAUACAUAUGUGGAUCCAUUUUCGGUUGAGAUUCUUGAAUUGGUGCUUCGUGAGUAUCUGCACAGGCG
rnacentral:lncRNA from 1 species